GGGCCUGUAGCUCAGUUGGGAGAGCGCUAGAAUCGCACUCUAGAGGUCGCAGGUUCGAUCCCUGUCAGGUCCA
rfam:Sorangium cellulosum So0157-2, complete genome.